rnacentral:rRNA from 1 species
UACGAAGGGGGCUAGCGUUGUUCGGAUUUACUGGGCGUAAAGCGCACGUAGGCGGAUCUUUAAGUCAGGGGUGAAAUGCCGCGGCUCAACCGCGGAACUGCCUUUGAUACUGGGGAUCUGGAGUCCGGGAGAGGUGAGCGGAACUGCGAGUGUAGAGGUGAAAUUCGUAGAUAUUCGCAAGAACACCAGUGGCGAAGGCGGCUCACUGGCCCGGAACUGACGCUGAGAUGCGAAAGCGUGGGGAGCAAACAGG